rnacentral:misc_RNA from 1 species
CGCAUCAAUAAGAGGCGUAACCAUGUUUUAAAAGAGAACGUCAAUCGUAUACCACUAUCGUACCUUCCUACAAACUUCCCGAGACCACCUAAAAGCGCGUAAUGAUAAGGUGGAAAGAGAAAAAUAAAUAGAAAAAGAGGGACAUACAUGGGGAUCUCGGUUUCGAAAUUCAACUUUCGAAGUCAAUCAGAUAAAAACCGGUGGCACACACGUAUGUGCAUCCGAUGGCUCGAUUGCACGACUGUUAUUCGUGUUCAACGACCGCUAUGCGAGGAAUAUCGCGAAAGACCCAGGAUAUCGCGUGCUCGUCAACUUUUCUUAACCGAUC